AGUUUGAUCCUGGCUCAGAUUGAACGCUGGCGGCAUGCCUUACACAUGCAAGUCGAACGGUAACAGGUCUUCGGAUGCUGACGAGUGGCGAACGGGUGAGUAAUACAUCGGAACGUGCCCGAGAGUGGGGGAUAACGAAGCGAAAGCUUUGCUAAUACCGCAUACGAUCUCAGGAUGAAAGCAGGGGACCGCAAGGCCUUGCGCUCACGGAGCGGCCGAUGGCAGAUUAGGUAGUUGGUGGGAUAAAAGCUUACCAAGCCGACGAUCUGUAGCUGGUCUGAGAGGACGACCAGCCACACUGGGACUGAGACACGGCCCAGACUCCUACGGGAGGCAGCAGUGGGGAGUUUUGGACAAUGGGCGCAAGCCUGAUCCAGCCAUGCCGCGUGCAGGAUGAAGGCCUUCGGGUUGUAAACUGCUUUUGUACGGAACGAAAAGACUCUGGUUAAUACCUGGGGUCCAUGACGGUACCGUAAGAAUAAGCACCGGCUAACUACGUGCCAGCAGCCGCGGUAAUACGUAGGGUGCGAGCGUUAAUCGGAAUUACAGGGCGUAAAGCGUGCGCAGGCGGUUAUAUAAGACAGAUGUGAAAUCCCCGGGCUCAACCUGGGAACUGCAUUUGUGACUGUAUAGCUAGAGUACGGCAGA
rnacentral:rRNA from 1 species